rnacentral:rRNA from 1 species
UACGAAGGGGGCUAGCGUUGCUCGGAAUUACUGGGCGUAAAGGGCGCGUAGGCGGAUAGUUUAGUCAGAGGUGAAAGCCCAGGGCUCAACCUUGGAACUGCCUUUGAUACUGGCUAUCUUGAGUUCGGGAGAGGUGAGUGGAAUGCCGAGUGUAGAGGUGAAAUUCGUAGAUAUUCGGCGGAACACCAGUGGCGAAGGCGACUCACUGGCCCGAUACUGACGCUG